AACGAACGCUGGCGGCAGGCUUAACACAUGCAAGUCGAACGAGAUCUUCGGAUCUAGUGGCAGACGGGUGAGGAACACGUGGGAACAUCCCUUUCAGUUCGGAAUAACGUUGGGAAACUAACGCUAAUACCGGAUACGUCCUUCGGGAGAAAGAUUUAUCGCUGAAAGAUUGGCCCGCGUCUGAUUAGCUAGUUGGUGAGGUAACGGCUCACCAAGGCUACGAUCAGUAGCUGAUCUGAGAGGAUGAUCAGCCACAUUGGGACUGAGACACGGCCCAAACUCCUACGGGAGGCAGCAGUGGGGAAUAUUGGACAAUGGGCGCAAGCCUGAUCCAGCCAUGCCGCGUGAGUGAUGAAGGCCUUCGGGUUGUAAAGCUCUUUUGUCCGGGAAGAUAAUGACUGUACCGGAAGAAUAAGCCCCGGCAAACUUCGUGCCAGCCGCCGCGGUAA
rnacentral:rRNA from 1 species